AUUGAACGCUGGCGGCAGGCCUAACACAUGCAAGUCGAACGGUAACAGGAAGCAGCUUGCUGCUUUGCUGACGAGUGGCGGACGGGUGAGUAAUGUCUGGGAAACUGCCCGAUGGAGGGGGAUAACUACUGGAAACGGUAGCUAAUACCGCAUAACGUCGCAAGACCAAAGAGGGGGACCUUAGGGCCUCUUGCCAUCGGAUGUGCCCAGAUGGGAUUAGCUAGUAGGUGGGGUAACGGCUCACCUAGGCGACGAUCCCUAGCUGGUCUGAGAGGAUGACCAGCCACACUGGAACUGAGACACGGUCCAGACUCCUACGGGAGGCAGCAGUGGGGAAUAUUGCAUAAUGGGCGCAAGCCUGAUGCAGCCAUGCCGCGUGUAUGAAGAAGGCCUUCGGGUUGUAAAGUACUUUCAGCGGGGAGGAAGGGAGUAAAGUUAAUACCUUUGCUCAUUGACGUUACCCGCAGAAGAAGCACCGGCUAACUCCGUG
rnacentral:rRNA from 1 species